rfam:Bradyrhizobium sp. LTSP849 NODE_39, whole genome shotgun sequence.
GAGGAUCUGAGGCCGAUCUCACGUGGAUCCCGCGUCCGACACGGGCGCCUCAUCCACCCCGUGUCGUGCCCCCGACCCCGCCCGGCUGUCCCCCCGGGCGGGGU